rnacentral:lncRNA from 1 species
CACGGGUUUGAGGUAAGUGUUGCUGAAGCGACUGCGUUUUGAUUUAUAGUUAGUGGCGCUUGAACUAAAACGCCGCAAAAAUGUUUUAACAUUUAUCUAUACGAGGCCGUUUUGCUGUAUUAUUAGUGGCGUUUAUUCAAAAACGCCACAGGUGUGCGCUAUUUGUUGAUGAAACGACUGCGUUUCGACUUAUAGUUAGUGGUGCUUAUUUAUAAACACCGCAAAUGGUUAAUUUUUUAGAUGAAAACGGCGUCGUUUUUUUCCAUCAUUCUGACCAAAAUUGGAACCCGAUAUUUUUCAUCUGUUAUCCCCCAAAGCCUCCAUCAGAUUUCCCCCAAAAUUUAUUUUCCCCCCAAAUCCCUAAAAUUUCCCCUAAUCCCUAACAGCUCCCCAAACCCGACCACCUGCUACUCUACCGUCUCCUGUGCUGCAUCACUUUCUCUGUCCGUCUCUGGUGCCGCAACCAUCGGUAAGUUCGUCCUUUUAAGCAAGUAACUGUUUUUUUUUAUUUUUCCCUUUCCUCUCGUCUCGCUUCCAGUGAAGGCUAAAGCGGCUUCUUUCUUUCAGCUACCGACGAUUUGAAGCUUCAACUUUCCCAGAAGCUCCAAGGCUGAAACCGAGGAGAAGACGCUAAAAUUACACUUUUCGGACUCCAUCUUCAGUUUUGGUCGAUACCCUUUCCAAGGUAUAAAGCUACUGUUUUGAAUCCACUUAUUUGGU